CAAAUACUGCACAGAAGAUAGUUUAUUUUCAGUAUUUUUAUAGUUCAAUAAAGUCAUUUAUUAUUUUAAAUUCACUGAGUCCCCAAAGUAAAAUGACUUUGGUAGCUGGAAAGGGAAAAGAUCAGAAUACCUUAAAAUCAGUUUACUGUGAAAGAAAGUGGCACUGUUAAGCUCUGACGGCAAAUAUAACAAGAGCUCGUUCUCUAAACCUCGUUUUGUUGUAACUGUUAAAUCAUUUCACAAUGCAAUCAAAGAAUCACAUCAUCGUGGCAGCCUUCAAAAGAGACAAAGAUUUGUCAAUGAUUAUCAGACGUUAACACAUUUACACGGAGGUCGAACGUCCAUUUGAUCUUCUCUUCAAUUGUGGAGGCUUCUUUUCUUGUUGGCGAGAAAAGGGAUCAGCAGGUCUCCAGGAUGUGUCACAUGACAUUCUUCAUCACUUUCCUGCUUCUGCUACCACAAAGAUGUAAAGGUCUCCUUGAAGUAAUCGGUUCACCUCAACCAA